UACGUAGGGUGCGAGCGUUAAUCGGAAUUACUGGGCGUAAAGCGUGCGCAGGCGGCUUUGCAAGACAGAUGUGAAAUCCCCGGGCUCAACCUGGGAACUGCAUUUGUGACUGCAAGGCUAGAGUACGGCAGAGGGGGAUGGAAUUCCACGUGUAGCAGUGAAAUGCGUAGAUAUGCGGAGGAACACCAAAGGCGAAGGCAAUCCCCUGG
rnacentral:rRNA from 1 species